GAUGAACGCUGGCGGCGUGCUUAACACAUGCAAGUCGAACGGUGAACGAGGGAGCUUGCUCCCUCCGGAUCAGUGGCGAACGGGUGAGUAACACGUGAGCAAUCUGCCCUGGACUCUGGGAUAAGCGUUGGAAACGACGUCUAAUACCGGAUACGAGGCGUGGGGGCAUCCCCAACGCCUGGAAAGAACUUCGGUCCAGGAUGAGCUCGCGGCCUAUCAGCUAGUUGGUGAGGUAACGGCUCACCAAGGCGACGACGGGUAGCCGGCCUGAGAGGGUGACCGGCCACACUGGGACUGAGACCCGGCCCAGACUCCUACGGGAGGCAGCAGUGGGGAAUAGUGCACAAUGGGCGCAAGCCUGAUGCAGCAACGCCGCGUGAGGGACGACGGCCUUCGGGUUGUAAACCUCUUUUAGCAGGGAAGAAGCGAAAGUGACGGUACCUGCAGAAAAAGCACCGGCUAACUACGUGCCAGCCGCCGCCGUAACAC
rnacentral:rRNA from 1 species